rnacentral:rRNA from 1 species
AUUGAACGCUGGCGGCAGGCCUAACACAUGCAAGUCGAGCGGAUGACGGGAGCUUGCUCCUUGAUUCAGCGGCGGACGGGUGAGUAAUGCCUAGGAAUCUGCCUGGUAGUGGGGGACAACGUUUCGAAAGGAACGCUAAUAGCGCAUACGUCCUACGGGAGAAAGCAGGGGACCUUCGGGCCUCGCGCUAUCAGAUGAGCAUAGGUCGGAUUAGCUUGUUGGUGAGGUAAUGGCUCACCAAGGCGACGAUCCGUAACUGGUCUGAGAGGAUGAUCAGUCACACUGGAACUGAGACACGGUCCAGACUCCUACGGGAGGCAGCAGUGGGGAAUAUUGGACAAUGGGCGAAAGCCUGAUCCAGCCAUGCCGCGUGUGUGAAGAAGGUCUUCGGAUUGUAAAGCACUUUAAGUUGGGAGGAAGGGUUGUAGAUUAAUACUCUGCAAUUUUGACGUUACCGACAGAAUAAGCACCGGCUAACUCUGUGCCAGCAGCCGCAGUAACAC